GAAUGAUCAAAUAAUUGGC
rnacentral:miRNA from 1 species